UACGAGGGGAGCUAGCGUUAUUCGGAAUUACUGGGCGUAAAGCGCACGUAGGCGGCUUUGUAAGUUAGGGGUGAAAUCCCGGAGCUCAACUCCGGAAUUGCCUCUAAGACUGCAUCGCUUGAAUCCAGGAGAGGUGAGUGGAAUUCCGAGUGUAGAGGUGAAAUUCGUAGAUAUUCGGAAGAACACCAGUGGCGAAGGCGGCUCACUGGACUGGUAUUGACGCUGAGGUGCGAAAGCGUGGGGAGCAAACAGG
rnacentral:rRNA from 1 species